rnacentral:rRNA from 1 species
CCUACGGGCGGCUGCAGUGGGGAAUAUUGGACAAUGGGGGGAACCCUGAUCCAGCCAUGCCGCGUGUGUGAAGAAGGCCCUCGGGUUGUAAAGCACUUUCAGUGAGGAAGAACGCCUGGUGGUUAAUACCCAUCAGGAAAGACAUCACUCACAGAAGAAGCACCGGCUAACUCCGUGCCAGCAGCCGCGGUAAUACGGAGGGUGCGAGCGUUAAUCGGAAUUACUGGGCGUAAAGCGCGCGUAGGUGGCUUGAUAAGCCGGUUGUGAAAGCCCCGGGCUCAACCUGGGAACGGCAUCCGGAACUGUCAAGCUAGAGUGCAGGAGAGGAAGGUAGAAUUCCCGGUGUAGCGGUGAAAUGCGUAGAGAUCGGGAGGAAUACCAGUGGCGAAGGCGGCCUUCUGGACUGACACUGACACUGAGGUGCGAAAGCGUGGGUAGUAAACAGGAUUAGAUACCCCGGUAGUC